rnacentral:rRNA from 1 species
UACAGAGGUCCCAAGCGUUGUUCGGAUUCAUUGGGCGUAAAGGGUGCGUAGGCGGCGCGGUAAGUCGGGUGUGAAAUCUCGGAGCUUAACUCCGAAACUGCAUUCGAUACUGCCGUGCUUGAGGACUGGAGAGGAGACUGGAAUUUACGGUGUAGCGGUGAAAUGCGUAGAUAUCGUAAGGAAGACCAGUGGCGGAAGGCGGGUCUCUGGACAGUUCCUGACGCUGAGGCACGAAGGCCAGGGAGCAAACGGG